rnacentral:rRNA from 1 species
GACGAACGCUGGCGGCGUGCCUAAUACAUGCAAGUAGGACGCAGUUGCGAACGGGGGAGUAACGCGUAGGUAACUACCUAUUAGAGGGGGCUAACUAUUGGAAACGAUAGCUAAUACCGCAUACUAGUAGAUGGACCUGCGUUGUAUUAGCUAGUAGGUAGGGUAAUGGCCUACCUAGGCAACGAUACAUAGCCGAGCUGGGAGGGGGGACGGGCACAAUGGGACUGGGACACGGCCCAGACUCCUACGGGAAGGAGCAGUAGGGGAUCUUUGGCAAUGGGGGGAAACCUGACCGAACAACGCCGGGUGGGUGAAGGAGGGUUUCGGGUCGUAAAGCUCUGUUGUUAAGGAAGCGGUACUUAACCAGAAAGGGACGGCUAACUACGUGCCAGCAGCCGCGGUAAUUC